rnacentral:misc_RNA from 1 species
GCAAUAACUACGGAUGAAUAGAUGGUCAAUGCACGAUCUGCAUAAUAUAUUGCCGUGUUUUUCUAUACGCGUAAAUUGAUUUAUAGCACACUCAAAGCCCAAAUUACUCAAAGAAUUAAGAUAUAAGGUCGUCACAGGGUUACUCUGCUUCAAGUCAAUGUUCAUAUCACCAAUUACAAGGUCUCUUACCCCCUCUCGCCCCCUUUAGUACUGCAGCGCCUACAAGGGGGCGUUUUCGCCUCGGAUGCCUCGGAGAGCUCAG